CCCCUUUGAAAAGCACUCAUCGUGCCUUUCACUAAUGACCCACUGAGCCUCCAAGAAAGGGCAAAGUGAAAACACCGCUUUUGGAUGACGUAGCAGCAGGUCGUGUCGUUUCGCUUCAGUUGGUGGUGUGACAUGG